GGCCGACAGGCGUAGUCGAUGGAUAACGGGUUGAUAUUCCCGUACCGGCGCUGGUGCGCCAAUGCUGAAUCUUCCUGUACUAACCUUCUCCUGGGGUCCUUUCGAGGGCUGAUCGGGUUGGGAUCUUCCGGGGUAGUAGGCAA
rnacentral:rRNA from 1 species